GCUUUGAGAUGUGAGCCAUAAGGGUGAUGUGGGCUACCACACACAUCCUAGUCCCAUUCCAAAAAUAUUUUCUCUUCUACUCAUGCCAACACUUGCAUGCAAAUAGUUUUUGCACCAAGAGUCCUUCUCAAUUUGGACUCCUCAUAUUUUAGUGUUAACAUGGGAUUAGAUGCCUCAUUUUGGACUGCUUCCAGGUGGCACAACC
rnacentral:lncRNA from 1 species